UACGUAGGGAGCAAGCGUUGUCCGGAUUUAUUGGGCGUAAAGAGCGUGUAGGCGGUUAGGUAGGUCCGUUGUGAAAACUCGAGGCUCAACCUCGAGACGCCGAUGGAAACCAUCUAACUAGAGUCCGGAAGAGGAGAGUGGAAUUCCUGGUGUAGCGGUGAAAUGCGCAGAUAUCAGGAAGAACACCCGUGGCUAAGGCGGCUCUCUAGUACGGUACUGACGCUGAGACGCGAAAGCGUGGGGAGCGAACAGG
rnacentral:rRNA from 1 species